CAGACAGACAGACAGGUGUUACCAUGGUGACCAGCGUCCUGCAGGUAAACAUGCUGCAGGUGAUGCUCACAAAACUCUGCUAAAAGGCUCGAAAAAACUUUUGCCAGAAAUGUUGGAUAUCAAUAAAAGUUAAAUAUGAGCAAAGCAGCAGAAAAAUGUUGAGAAAAUAUCUUUACAAAAUUUAAAAACUAAACGCUAGAAACACGUCAGAAACAUAACGUCCAAAAUUGGUUUGAAAAUGUAAAAUAUCUGAAAAAAUAUUUUUAAAAAAUGUAACAAAAAAAAAUUAACAUAUGACGUCCAGAGAAAACAUCAAAACACGUAUGAAGAAAGUCAGAAACUAUUUAUGAAAUGUAAGAAAACCUCAAAUAAACAGUAAUAAAACAUAAAAAUAUAUGUAAUAUGAAAUAAUACACAGAAAACAUUUUAGUACAUCAGAAAAAUUUAUAAAAAAUGAAUGAAAUUCAGUUAUUUUAAUUAAACAUCAGAGUUUUAACUAAAUACCUCAAAAAAUCUGUCCUACAGGUGGCGCUGUGUUUGGACGUCCUACAGGUGGCGCUGUGUUUGGACGUUCUACAGGUAAACGUCCUACAGGUGGCGCUGUGUUUGGACGUUCUACAGGUAAACGUCCUACAGGUGGCGCUGUGUUUGGACGUUCUACAGGUAAACGUCCUACAGGUGGCGCUGUGUUUGGACGUUCUGCAGGUGGCGCUGUGUUUGGACGUUCUGCAGGUGGCGCUGUGUUUGGACGUUCUGCAGGUGGCGCUGUGUUUGGACGUUCUACAGGUGGCGCUGUGUUUGGACGUUCUACAGGUAAACGUCCUACAGGUGGCGCUGCGUUUGGACAUUCUACAGGUAAACGUCCUACAGGUGGCGCUGCGUUUGGACAUUCUACAGGUAAACGUCCUACAGGUGGCGCUGUGUUUGGACAUUCUACAGGUAAACGUCCUACAGGUGGCGCUGCGUUUGGACAUUCUACAGGUAAACGUCCUACAGGUGGCGCUGCGUUUGGAC